GAUGAACGCUAGCGGCAGGCCUAAUACAUGCAAGUCGAGGGGCAGCGGGGUAGCAAUACUGCCGGCGACCGGCGCACGGGUGCGUAACACGUAUGCAACCUACCUUAAACUGGGGAUAGCCCGGGGAAACUCGGAUUAAUACCCCAUAACACGGCGAUGCCUCAUGGCAAUGUCGUUAAAAGAUUUA
rnacentral:rRNA from 1 species